UGGCUGUUUUGUAGGAGUGGUUUAGCUACAAAGUAACAUUUUACCUUAUUCAAUGAGGAUGACAGAAACCCUAAAUUACCACCAUCUGCUUUUUCUCCAUUUCAAAAUUCAAUCAUUUCAGUGACAUACGCAGAAAUCCAAGCUUAUUGGGAAUGGAGUCGUUGCAAUUAUUUGAUGACCUGACUGAGGAGCAUUCACAGAAUACAAUUAGAAGAAGGAAUAGAUUUUCACAGACAGAGUAUCCACAGCCAGGUCUGACUACAGGAAACAGCCCAUGGAAGAACAUGCAUUUUCUCAUACCUUAUCUGCCAGACUGCUUUAUUUGAGAAAACAACACAAAACAGGCUCAAAUAAAAUUAAUAAAGAGUCAUAACUUACCUUGUCCACCAGAAUACUGACAUCAGAAAAAUAUAUAGUAAAAUAAUUAGCUGCUUUUAUGUAGGAAAAUGUUCCCUUCCUUUACCUUAGAAAUGUAACAGUGAUUUUUAAUUCUGACACCUAUUAGAAAAAAGCUAAAAUACUACUAAGUAUUACAGCUUGAGAGAUGCAGUCAUUAUCAGAAAGGAGCUGCAUUAUCAUACACCAGAUCUCUCUCAUUUUUAUAAAAUCUGAAAGUUAUAAAAUUUAAGUAUGAU